UGACAGGCCAGAAGACGAUGGCGGUAGGGGAGAUCACGCGAGAGCAUGGCCUCCACCUCUCCUCCCCACCGCCAUCUCCACGUUCUCGCACCGGCGCUGGGGUGCAGGCUUUCAGUGGUCUCAGGGCUACGGCUUGUCGGUGCCUCGCCGCACAGUCCCCUUUGCAUUGAAGGACACGGUCUUACGGUGUAGGAGCAUUUUUGAGGUGCAUUCCUGGAUUUGGAGGCGAACCCCCAAUGGUUACCUCCACAGAGGCUUUGCGAAGGGCGCUCACUGACUUAGGUGAAGAGCGAAGGCUCAAGACUGUGCCGCUUUAUAGUGGCCCCUUGACGUCCAGAAGUUCCCCCCAGCGCCGGUCAUAAGCACUCCCGCCGCCUGGGCCCCGCCCUGCCUGCCAGGCGCCCUCCAGCCUCAGCUCCCGGACGCCCGGCGUGGCCGCUUUCUCGCGUCUUGCUGACCCGGGCCGGGGGCGUGUGCUCCUCCUGCAGCGGACGGAAGAUGCUGGGCCACGCAAGUUUCCCUGGGCUUGGUUAACCACCCCAAAGCCCAUUUCCAGAAGGAAAGGGUGUUGAGGAGGAGGGAUAGAAAGUCGAGAAGAGGGCCGGGUGAGUGGCUCACGCCUGUCAUCCCAGCACUUUGGGAGGCCGAGACAGGCGGAUCACCUGAGGUCAGGACUUAGAGACCAGCCUGGCCUACAUGGUGAAACCCCGUCUCUACUAAAAAUACAAAAAUUAGCCGGGUGUGGUGCCGUGCGCCUGUAGUCCCAGCAACUCGGGAGGCUGAGGUAGGAGAAUCGCUUGAACCCGGGAGUCGGAGGUUGCAGUGCUGAGAUGGCACCUGGCCUGGGCGGCAAGAGCGAAACUCCAUCUCAAAAAAAAAAAGAAGAGGAAAUGAGGCAUAGGGGCAGGCGAGCCGGGAAAAUAUUGCUACUAAGGAUCCUAAGCAGUGAACAUGCUGUUAAUACUUGGUCUUGCUCUGUUGCUCAGGCUGGAGUGAAGUAGAGCAUUCACAGCCCACUGCAACCUUGAACACCUGGGCUCAAGCAAUCCUCCUGCCUCAGCCUCCUGAGUAGCUGGGACCACAGAUGUGUACCACCAUGCCCAGCUACAUGUCUUUCUUUUGGGGGGACAGCAGAAACCUGGGCAGAGGAGGAAUCCUGAUACCCAGUUCUGAAACAAAGUGGCAGAAUUUGUAAUACAGAAGAAGGAUCUUGUGACUGGUAUUCUGUUAUCCACAAGAGUAAAUGUUCCCAAAUAAACAAAACUGGGAUAUGAAAUGGUGGAGUGUGUGGUGCCUGUUCAUGAAAAAAAAAGGUCUAGAUUGCAAGAGUAAUAUUAGAGGAUUUUGGAGAUGUUUUACAACCAGAGAAUAAAAGACCAUCCUUUUGUCUGACAUGGUACAGUUUUAUGCCCCUUACAUGCAACAAGAAAACAAAAGCUAAAUAAAAUCGUAGGUCCUGAUCCUCCAGUGCUUAGAUACACUUAAUUUAAUUUUUGAAAUACUUAAGCCUACGUCAGAGAUCAUUGAGUAUUUAUUUGGGGGAAACAGAGGAGGCAAUGGCUCACCCCUGUCAGAGAGGAUCAACAACAUGCAGACAUUCCUUAUUAUGAGAGAUGGGUAACUGGA
rnacentral:lncRNA from 1 species